AAAAGAAAUUCGGUGCAGGAUGAGUCCGCGUCUGAUUAGCUAGUUGGAGGGGUAAAAGCCCACCAAGGCAACGAUCAGUAGCCGGCCUGAGAGGGCGACCGGCCACAUUGGGACUGAGACACGGCCCAAACUCCUACGGGAGGCAGCAGUGGGGAAUAUUGCACAAUGGGGGAAACCCUGAUGCAGCGACGCCGCGUGAGCGAGGAAGUAUUUCGGUAUGUAAAGCUCUAUCAGCAGGGACGAAAAAAGACGGUACCUGACUAAGAAGCCCCGGCUAACUACGUGCCAGCAGCCGCGGUAAUACGUAGGGGGCAAGCGUUAUCCGGAUUUACUGGGUGUAAAGGGAGCGUAGACGGCAAGGCAAGCCAGAAGUGAAAGGGCAGGGCUCAACCCUGUACAUGCUUUUGGAACUGUGGUGCUAGAGUGCAGGAGAGGUAAGUGGAAUUCCUAGUGUAGCGGUGAAAUGCGUAGAUAUUAGGAGGAACACCAGUGGCGAAGGCGGCUUACUGGACUGUAACUGACGUUGAGGCUCGAAAGCGUGGGGAGCAAACAGGAUUAGAUACCCUGGUAGUCCACGCUGUAAACGAUGA
rnacentral:rRNA from 1 species